ACGUAGGGAGCAAGCGUUGUCCGGAAUUACUGGGCGUAAAGGGUGCGUAGGUGGCCAUGUAAGUCAGGUGUGAAAGACCGGGGCUCAACCCCGGGGUUGCACUUGAAACUGUGUGGCUUGAGUACAGGAGAGGGAAGUGGAAUUCCUAGUGUAGCGGUGAAAUGCGUAGAUAUUAGGAGGAACACCAGUGGCGAAGGCGACUUUCUGGACUGUAACUGACACUGAGGCACGAAAGCGUGGGGAGCAAACAG
rnacentral:rRNA from 1 species